ACGGGUGAGUAACGCGUGGGUAACCUACCCUGUACACACGGAUAACAUACCGAAAGGUAUGCUAAUACGGGAUAAUAUAUUUGAGAGGCAUCUCUUGAAUAUCAAAGGUGAGCCAGUACAGGAUGGACCCGCGUCUGAUUAGCUAGUUGGUAAGGUAACGGCUUACCAAGGCGACGAUCAGUAGCCGACCUGAGAGGGUGAUCGGCCACAUUGGAACUGAGACACGGUCCAAACUCCUACGGGAGGCAGCAGUGGGGAAUAUUGCACAAUGGGCGAAGGCCUGAUGCAGCAACGCCGCGUGAGUGAUGAAGGCCUUCGGGUCGUAAAACUCUGUCCUCAAGGAAGAUAAUGACGGUACUUGAGGAGGAAGCCCCGGCUAACUACGUGCCAGCAGCCGCGGUAAUACGUAGGGGGCUAGCGUUAUCCGGAUUUACUGGGCGUAAAGGGUGCGUAGGCGGUCUUUCAAGUCAGGAGUGAAAGGCUACGGCUCAACCGUAGUAAGCUCUUGAAACUGGGAGACUUGAGUGCAGGAGAGGAGAGUGGAAUUCCUAGUGUAGCGGCGAAAUGCGUAGAUAUUAGGAGGAACACCAGUUGCGAAGGCGGCUCUCUGGACUGUAACUGACGCUGAGGCACGAAAGCGUGGGGAGCAAACAGGAUUAGAUACCCUGGUAGUCCACGCUGUAAA
rnacentral:rRNA from 1 species